CAUUAAUGAAAGAAUGAGAUGGAACUUCAACACUUACUUGCUUAAACAAAAUUUGCACUAUUAGUGUAUCUAAAGCGUUUUUUAAUGCUGGCCCAAGUUAAAUUGAGAUUAUUAUUUAAAAAAAAAAAAAUUAUGGAGAUGGGACAAAAAAUAAAUAAUGAUGAAGUGAAAAAAUAAAUAGAGAUAUGUAUAACUUAGAAAAAAAUUUUUGUUUAUUAUUUAGUGGUUGAUGUGAAAAGAUGUACAAGGUUAGCUGUUAUUUUUAUCUUGUUUGCUGUAAAAAAUAAAUUAAUAUAAUGAAUGAAAAAAAUCUUUAUAAUUAAUUUAAUAUAUAAGUCCUUAUUAUAGAAAGGUACAUUCUGAAGUCGGUGAACUAUAAAUGUCUGAAAAUUCUAGUAAAUAAUUCUAGAUUGUGUUCAUUUAUCAAAAAAAUAAGUUCUGUCUUGAAAUAUUUUUAGAGUGGGCACCCAUGAUGACCACUUAUUCUUCAAACCUAAUGUGUCGACGACCGAUAUCGAUUGGUCACCGACUCGCGUGGAAUUAACUUUUUAUAUCUUUUCAAUUAAUACUCAAUUUUUGUAAGCGUUUUUUUGCUUGGAUUGAGCUAUAUAUAUAUUUUUUUUUAAAUCCUUAAAUGCUUGAAGAAUAACAAAAUGUUCAUGAUUUUAGGUUAGAAGGACCACUUAGACCUACUACAAAGAAUUCAAGUCGUGCUUUGUCCAAAUUUGAACCUCAUUUAACGAGUCAUCCUGUUGAGUCUGUGGAAAAAGAGCCAUCUAUCUCAAAUAUCAAGUCCAGUCCUGUCCAUAAUCUGAAACUGGGCUAUACCUGGCCUGAAGUUGAACUGAAUCCUCCUUACCUUGGCCUGAAAUUGAGU